AACGAACGCUGGCGGCAUGCCUAACACAUGCAAGUCGAACGAGACCUUCGGGUCUAGUGGCGCACGGGUGCGUAACGCGUGGGAACCUGCCCUUAGGUUCGGAAUAACUCCCCGAAAGGGGUGCUAAUACCGGAUAAUGUCUUCGGACCAAAGAUUUAUCGCCUUUGGAUGGGCCCGCGUUGGAUUAGCUAGUUGGUAGGGUAAAAGCCUACCAAGGCGACGAUCCAUAGCUGGUCUGAGAGGAUGAUCAGCCACACUGCGACUGAGACACGGCCCAGACUACUACGGGAGGGAGCAGUGGGGAAUAUUGUACAACGGGCGAAAGCCUGAUGCAGCACGGCCGGGUGAGUGAUGAAGGCCUUAGGGUUGUAAAGCUCUUUUACCCGGGAUGAUAAUGACAGUACCGGGAGAAUAAGCUCCGGCUAACUCCGUG
rnacentral:rRNA from 1 species